GCUGCGGUCGUCCAGUGGUUAGGAUAGAGGCCUGUGGAGCCUUUGACCCGGGUUCAAAUCCCGGCCGCGGCC
rnacentral:tRNA from 1 species